AGUGAACGCUGGCGGUAGGCCUAACACAUGCAAGUCGAACGGCAGCACAGUAAGAGCUUGCUCUUACGGGUGGCGAGUGGCGGACGGGUGAGGAAUACAUCGGAAUCUACUUUUUCGUGGGGGAUAACGUAGGGAAACUUACGCUAAUACCGCAUACGACCUACGGGUGAAAGCAGGGGAUCUUCGGACCUUGCGCGAUUGAAUGAGCCGAUGUCGGAUUAGCUAGUUGGCGGGGUAAAGGCCCACCCAGGCGACGAUCCGUAGCUGGUCUGAGAGGAUGAUAGGCCACACUGGAACUGAGACACGGUCCAGACUCCUACGGGAGGCAGCAGUGGGGAAUAUUGGACAAUGGGCGCAAGCCUGACCCAGCCAUACCGCGUGGGUGAAGAAGGCCUUCGGGUUGUAAAGCCCUUUUGUUGGGAAAGAAAAGCAGCAGGUUAAUACCCCGCUGUUCUGACGGUACCCAAAGAAUAAGCACCGGCUAACUUCGUG
rnacentral:rRNA from 1 species